rnacentral:rRNA from 1 species
GUGACGGGGUANCGAUGUGUUUCGCGGCCGCGUGCUGGUCGGUAUCGGGGAGAGCUCGGACGCGUUGGAUGGGGUGAUGACCUUCUAUAGUGUCACCUAAAUGGCUUGGGGGUUCAUGGUCAUUAUUGUUUCCUAACGCAUGGUUUGGGGUGGAAAGAUUUAUCGGUGCGAGAUGGGCCCGCGGCCUAUCAGCUUGUUGGUGAGGUAACGGCUCACCAAGGCGACGACGGGUAGCCGACCUGAGAGGGUGACCGGCCACACUGGGACUGAGACACGGCCCAGACUCCUACGGGAGGCAGCAGUGGGGAAUAUUGCACAAUGGGCGCAAGCCUGAUGCAGCGACGCCGCGUGCGGGAUGACGGCCUUCGGGUUGUAAACCGCUUUUGACAGGGACGAAGCGCAAGUGACUGUACCUGUAGAAUAAGGACCGGCCAACUACGUGCCAGCAGCCGCGGUAAUACGUAGGGUCCGAGCGUUGUCCGGAAUUACUGGGCGUAAAGAGCUCGUAGGCGGUUCGUCGCGUCGUUUGUGAAAACUUGGGGCUCAACCUUAAGCUUGCAGGCGAUACGGGCGGACUAGAGUACUUCAGGGGAGACUGGAAUUCCUGGUGUAGCGGUGAAAUGCGCAGAUAUCAGGAGGAACACCGGUGGCGAAGGCGGGUCUCUGGGAAGUAACUGACGCUGAGAAGCGAAAGCAUGGGUAGCAAACAGGAUUAGAUACCCUGGUAGUCCAUGCCGUAAACGGUGGGUACUAGGUGUGGGGCUCCUUCCACGGACUCCGUGCCGUAGCUAACGCAUUAAGUACCCCGCCUGGGGAGUACGGCCGCAAGGCUAAAACUCAAAUGAAUUGACGGGG